rnacentral:lncRNA from 1 species
AGGAUUAUGGGGAAGACGGGGGCGGGGGCUGAGCCAAAGGUUGGCGGUGGCGUUGAGAUGGUGGGGUUGGCUCCGAAGAGGGAGGAGGCCGGCGAGAUGGAGCUGAAGAGAGGAUAGUGGAAAGGACGGUGGCAAGGGCCGAGCCAAAGAGUGGCGGUGGCGUCGAGAUGGUGAGGUUGGCUUCGAAGAGGGAGGAGGCCCAUGAGACGAAGCUGAAGAGAGGAUGGUGGAAAGGACGGCGGAAAGGGUUGAACCAAAGAUUGGUGGCGUCGAGAUGGUGGGGUUAGCUCCGAAGAGGGAUCGGAGGCCGGCGAGAUGGAGCUAGGGAGAGGACGGUGAGGAGGACCAUGCGAGAGCCGAGCGAGAGGUCAGCGGCGACGGCGGGGUAGUGGGGUUGGCUCUGAAGAGGGAGGAGGCCAGCGAAAUGGAGCUAGGGAGAGGACAACAGGGAGGACGAUGGCGGGGGUCGAGCCAAAGGUCGGCAGUAGCAUCAAGGUGGUGGGGUUGGCUCUGAGGAGGGAGGAGGCCUGCAAGAUUGAGCUGGGUAGAAGAGGGCGGGGAGAGGGGAG